UGGCCUAAUGGGUAAGGCGCUCGACUUCUAAUCAGGUGAUUGUGGCUUAGAGUUCCAC
rnacentral:tRNA from 1 species